UUAAACAAUACAACCUCCAAAUAAGAUCUGAACUACAUUGACUUCAGAGCAGCGGUUUUGUUUUUUUGCACUAUUAUUGUUUGUUGGCUAAUUUUAUGUUUGUGUACAUAUGCAAACAUAUAGGGGGAGAGGGGUCCCACAUAAGAGAUUAGU